CAGUCGCCGCGGUAAUACGGAGGGUGCAAGCGUUAAUCGGAAUUACUGGGCGUAAAGCGUGCGUAGGUGGUGGUUUAAGUCCGUUGUGAAAGCCCUGGGCUCAACCUGGGAAUUGCAGUGGAUACUGGGUCACUAGAGUGUGGUAGAGGAUAGUGGAAUUUCCGGUGUAGCAGUGAAAUGCGUAGAGAUCGGAAGGAACAUCUGUGGCGAAGGCGGCCAUCUGGGACAACACUGACGCUGAGGCACGAAAGCGUGGGGAGCAAACAGGAUUAGAUACCCCCGUAGUCCCUGUCUCUUAUAC
rnacentral:rRNA from 1 species